rnacentral:lncRNA from 10 species
CAAAAAAGUCAUCUGAUAAUUUUUGGACCUAAAAUACUUUAUGCGUUCUGGUUAACCAUUAAACCUCCUUAUUAAAGAAAAAAGUGUGGUGAAAGAUAAUUAGACAGGGGUCCUGAAAUUGAAAGUAAGGGCUGCUUUGCUUGGUGGAUUAGGAGGAGAUUAGGGGACAUACCCUGAGAUUGGGAGGAAUGAUUGGACUUUCAGUUUCUUUGAGUUAGUGAGAACUACCCUUAAGAGUACAUAGAGAAAGUCUGGGUUGUAAAAGUACAGGAGCUCAAGUCUAUAGCCUGGGAAGCCAUAGACUGUCUAUGUGAAGGGUCAGGGACUCCGUGGCUUGUGCAAGUGAAGAGAACCAGAGUUGUUUGGUAGACUGAGUAAUGGUGAUGGUGGUAAAUGACCUGAAGAAAACAAUCUUUCCUAACUUUUGUGUAAUCCUGAGAACUCCUAGCAUGUUCCAAGGUCACAAAAAGUGGCCAAUUAGCAUAGAUAAUUGAGAGAUUGAAUAGGACAAAAUCGAUUUGCAAAUAUAAAGAAAUAGGAUCUUUCUUGCACUUUGAGUGUCAAGGAGCAAUCUAUAUCUAUUACAUCAGGGAAGUGCCAAGUACCACUGCUAUAAGAAACUUGUCUUUUUCUUCUGAGUAGGCAACAUGGUAUAAUUUUUCAUACCUAGCUGUCCCUUAUAGUAACCCAGAAAACUUGUUAAAAUACAGAAUUAUAGGCUGUAUUCCAGUUGCACUGAAUCAUAGCAUUGGUGUUAGAAUGGAACAUGGAUAUCUGGAUUUUUUCUUCCUUGUCAGGCCUGCACUGAUCUGUUAACUGCUCAUAGAGAACUUCUGGUCAGGUGAUAAAAUAUGGGCUUUAGGUUCAGCCAAGCCAGGAUUUAAAUGGAAACUCAUCCACUAAUUAUGGACAAGUUACCUAAAUUCUAUGAGCUACAAAUCCUUUAUUUGUAUGGGGAUAAAAAUACCUACCUUUCAGGUAUAUAGGGAGAUUAAAUGGGAUACUAUAUUUACAGUUUUCAUUUCAGUGUUUGGCACACAGUACAUACUCCAUAAAUACUAGUAUUCUCUAUUCCUUUUUUUUUCUUUUUUUUUUUUUGAGACUGGAUCUCACUCUGCCACCCAGGCUGGAGUGUAGUGGCACAGUCUCAGCUCACUGCAACCCACAUUUCCCGGGUUCAAGUGAUUCUCCUGCCUCAGCCUCCUGAGUAGCUGGGACUACAGGCACCCGCCACCAUACAGGGCUAAUUUUUGUAUUUUUGGUAGAGAUGGGGUUUCACCAUGUUGGCCAGGCUGGUUUUGAACUCCUGACCUCAGGGGAUCCACCCACCUCAGCCUUCCAAAGUGCUGAGAUUACAGCCUUGAGCCACUGCGCCCAGCUAUUCCUUAAUUUUUCUACUUGAUUUCAGGAUGUCAUUGGAAUUUCUGAGUUAUUCCACUUCUCUGGUGUGUAAUAUAAAAGCUCUUUUUCAUGUGAUGAUCUGUAAUUUUCAUCUGUAAUUGUUCUAGAUUCUGACUGGCAGAUCAGAACACUGAGAAUGAUACUUUUGAAAUGACUAUGUGUCCUAAUCUUUGCUUUACUAUCUUGGAGAUAGUACAACUGAAGAUGAUUAAAAGAUUGCUUUUUCUGAGCCUCAACCUUUUCUGCCAGCCUAAUACAGAAUCACCUCCUUUGAGUUUUCCAAGAAUGAUACUGUAAAAAGAUUAAGCCAUUAAUCAGGUUUAUUCAGGAAGGAAAUGUCUAUUUUGAUUGUGCUAAUACCUAGUCCAAUGAUUGCAGAUGGGUUGCUUCAGUGUCCAAGGAUAUGUGGAGUGGUGGUUUUCUAAAAUGGAAAGAAUUUAGAGUUAGAAGACUUUAGCUUAAGAAUUCUUCCUUCCUUCUUCCCUCCUGUCUCCUCUGUUUCCUUCCUUCCUUCCUUCCUUCCCUCCUUCCUUCCUUUUUUCUUUUCUUCCUUUCUCCCUUCCUAGCUCCAUAUUUCCCUCUCUAUUUCCCUUUAUUUAUAUAUUUUUUUUACUAUAUGAAUUUGGUAAUUCAAAUUAUUGCCCUUAAACUCAGUUCACUUUCCUAUAGAAUGAAAUGGCAGCUCUUGUCUGGACUGUCUUUCAAGGAAUUUUAUGAGGAUCAAAAGAGAUGGAUAAUGUCUCAUUUUAUAAAUUAAAUUCCUAUAUAAGUAUAAAUAUAGUGUUUAUUUUCCAUUUUUAUGUCUUAGAUGACUCUGGGGUGAGAAUGCAUAAGAAAAGAAAACAAACAUUUAUUGGUUUGCCUGUUUACUGACUGCCCAUUUAUGCAAUCAUUUAUCAUUGCAAAUAUUAAUUGAGAAGCCACAGAAGACCAUAGACCCUAUGAAAUUCUUGCACUUACAUUAUUUUAUGUAAUAUUUACAUUGGCCCUGAAAGAUAGUUAUUAUUUUCUCUAUUUAGAAAUUUAAAAUUCAGAAAAGAUGCAUGAUUAGACCAAGGUCACAUGGCUAGUGGCAAGGUUGAGAUGCUACUUUGGGUCAGUCUGACCAUAAAUAAGACCAGACAGUACAUGAACAGGAAGAGAAGUGACUUUAAAAAAGAUGAUAAAACCUUGAGACGUUUUUGAUGUCUUACCCAGACCCUUUGCUGAGUAAUAGGGAUUUUGUGCCUCUUACCACCUCUGCAAUUUUCCAUCUGAUAAAAUUAGAUAUUUCUUAAGCCUUACCCUAAACUGGCAAAGUCAUGCAGACUUAUUGAAAUUUGUGUUUGACAAGAUGGCAAUUUAAAUUCUUCUCUCAGUUACAGCUCAUCCACCAGUCACCAAGUAGAACAAAAUGUGGAGUGACUUGGAGAACAGGGUAACAAUGGCACUUGUGAAACUGAGGCAAUGACAAAUGAUUCAGUGAGUUUCUAUCAUUUUUGGAAGGGCAGAGGCAGAAGAAACUAGGCUUUUAAGGCAAAACAUACAGGAUAAUUGUGGCUCCAUAAAUAAUUGUCAUUCUAUGGUCUUCAAGGUGGUGAGAUCACACUGUGAUUUCAAAAUUGCAACUUAGGUCCCAACCAUAAACUGCAUAACUGUAGAGUCCUCACCACUUUUCUUAUUGUCUUCUUUGUCUGAUCCCCUGGAUUUCUCAUGGUGGGAUGAGGUGGCAGGAGGUUCUCACAUAGACUCACCAUGUCAGGCUGGGUUUCAACUCACAAUGCUUCAUGGAAUCUGCCUGAAUUUCUACUUUCAGUACUCCCCCUGGGUCAUCAUUCCUAUCAUUGCUGCUUCUCUUCUCCUAAGCUCUUAACUUCAGCCUCCUCUAGGCUCUGACCAUACCACUGUUGUAGCUUCUCUGUGUGUGGGUCACGUGACUCCUGCCACCAAGGUUCUUUCUUUUUUUCAUCAUCACUGAACAGAUUUUUGGAUGAAUCCUUUCAUCCAUAUCUAAGCCCUCAUUGAUCUUGGUAGCUAAAAGAACCAAGCUGGGGUUCUCGGAAUUACUGUGGGCUGGAGGAAAAGAAAGUGAAGUAAUGUAUUCUAUCACUUAAUUCAAUCCAAUAGAUUGCACACGCUGAGAAGGAUUCCAUGGCAUUGCUGCUUGAGCCCCAUUGUUGCCAUCCUUUUGUUUAUAUGCAGCUCUUUUUUACUGGCCACAGAAGCUUGUUCAAAACUGAUUUAAGAAACAGUCUCCACAUGGCACAGAGGCAGGUGAUCUCAUGGCUUUGAUCUCAUGGAGACAGCAAAAGAUGAGCAGAGCCACCUCCAGCUAAGUGCAGUGGCAGAGCACAUAAUGGCAGAAGCCCUAGUGUGGUGGAGCCCCAGCUUCUUUUAGGAAAGUCUUUAUUUAUUAUUGUCUUGCUGAGAAAUGGUGAGAAGAAAUUGGACUCACCUUUUGGAGCAGAAUGAAGUUGUGUUAUGCUUGCUGCUCAUGCCUAUCUUAAAGAGAUAUGGAGAUACUUAGAGAGAUUCUGAGUACAAGGUGUGGCUGAUGCUAGAAUCUGUUCUAACCUUGCCAACCUGUCCUAUUAAUGAAUCUCACAAAAAUCUCCAUAAGUGUGUGCUCCUCUGUGUGUAGAUGUAGGCCAUGAGCACUUGAGCUGUGGCACUGGACUUAAAGACACACAUCUUAUGUGAUCAUAGCAGGUUAUAUUAAGAGAGAAUGGCUUGCUCUUUGAAACAGGACACCUUCCUCUUAAACCAAUGUUAAUGGUUGUGUCUCAGUCACUACUAUAGAAAGGAACUGUUGAACUGCAAGACAUGCUAUAGAUCAGUGGCAAUAACAGUAGCUAAGGAGAAGAGGAUGUCCUAGAACACUGGACAGCCUUUAUAUUCUCUCUCCCCAACAUGAUUAUGGGGUUCUUAGAGUGACCAUGGGAAGGAGGAAGAGAAAGUGAAGAAAGGCAUUUUUGAAAUAGCUGCUAUAUCGUCUCAGGGUCAUUCAUUGUUAAUAUUAAAAAGAAUUUGCACUCAAACUGUUGAAUCAGGACCUAUCGAGUAAUCAAGUAAUUCUCCCAUAGAGCCUUUGAAGUCUUUGGUUGACCUUCCUAUAGUUCAACCAUCUGCCACUCUAUACCAGAAUCCCAUUUCAGGACACAGCUUAGAUUUUCCUUCUGCCUAGAGACCUCUUAGCACCUACUAAAUUAGUGGAUACAAACAAAGUUAGGGAGAGGUUGUAGGUAGGGCCUUGAGGCUAUAGUUCAGCUAGGGCUUAGCAGGUAGGGCCUUGAGGUUAGCUUCACAGCCAGUAUUUUUGGAAACAUGCUUGCAUACUGUAUACAUUUACAUGUUUCUAUCCAUGUAAUAAUUCAUCCAGUAAAUUAAGAAAAAAUGGCAGUGCUCUUAUUAUUAUUAUUAUUUGUGUGUGGAAGAGACUGAGGCUAAGAAGGCCUGGAUGUCUUGCAUGAGGUCAUGCAAAUAAAGUUUGCUAAGCCAGGGUUUGAGCCCAGGUCUUCUGACUCAAAUCUGGUGCUGCUUCCAUGACUGUGGGCUGCUUCUCAGGAUCAGAACCAGCCCUUAUCAAAACCAUGAAGUUGAUGGAGUUGUCUUUGGGCUUUCACUGUUAUUCCCUGUACAUUUUACUCUCACCCAAAUCCAGAGAUCCAAUAUGUGCUUUCUGUUAAGUCUAUUGGCUCUCACAUGUGAUGAAAUAGAAAAAAGACAUAGGCUUUGGAAUCAAUUUUGACACAAACAGGACUGGCUUUAUGGGCUUACAAGCCAAGCACUUGCCCAGGAUGCUGCCCCCAGAGAGAUUUGUACUUGGUUUAAUGCUCCUCUGUCUCUGUCUUGAAAUUCUUCAUAAUCUGUUGAACACCUGGUCCUGCAGUUUUAUGUUACACUGGACUCUGUAAAUGAAUAGCUGGUUCUGCUAAUAAAUUUAGGACUUUGGUUAUGUUUCUUAAUUUCUCUGGACCUCAGUUUUCACAUCUGUAAAUUAGAACCAGUACAGUUAUCCAUAUCUCAAAGUGUUCUUGGGAAGAAUAAAUCAGAUAGAAUUGCAAAUUGGCUAACAAGCGUUUGUACAUGCGUACUAAAGAUUUGUCCUCAGUAAAUCUUAACCUAUUUACAUCUAAUCUAGAUGGAAACCUCUUCACUAAUGCCUUACUAGGUGAGCACUAAAACAUUCAUCAUAUCCAUGCAGAGCUUAGUUUUGUGCAAGGGAAGAUGGUUAUUUAGAUUUUGCUGUUGUGAGAGCAGAUUAAAUAACAAGGGAAAAAAAUUCCCUUUUCAAUGCACUAGUUACCAGUCUGAACAAAUGUGUAGACUUGGUAAACAGGGUGAUGAGGAAAACAAAUGCUGCAGCAGAAACAUUGGCUGAGAAAUCAGUCAGUUCUCACGACUCCCCAGCCAAUACCAGGAGCGCUCGUACUUCUCAGAGCAGCACUGAGCUUGCUCAGCUACGGUUGGCCUUUGCCCUGGCCCAGUGUAAGGCGAACAAUCAAAACAAAACAAAACAAACAGACAAACUAGAAAACCAAUGUAACAAAGAGAAGAGAAUGCAGAAACUAAGGUCUAAAACUAAGGAUGUUUUUAAAACUCUGUGUCUGGGGCUGGUCUAGCUAGUUCAAAUACAUUAUUUCAUUUAAACUUCCUAGAAACCCCAAGAGGUAGGUAAUAUUAGUAGCAUUUUGUAGAUGAGGAAACUAAGCUCACAGAAUACUUACAACUUUACAGUAUCCCAUAGAAUUGAUAGUGUUUAGAAUACAAACUAUUUGAAAAGAACAGAGCUAGAUGAGAUAAUCGAGAUUGUCUAGACAGUGAUGUCAAAUGUGUUGCAUCUCAUGCCUUAACUGUAAGUUUUUUUUGGUAGGGCUGUGCUAUGGUUUGCAUAUUUGUCCCUUCCCAAACUCAUGUUAAAAUUAAGUCUUCAAUGUGGUGGCAUCGAGAGGUGGGGCCUUUAAGAGGUGAUGGAAUCAUGAGGACUCUGCUCUCACUAAUGGAUUAAUCCAUUCAUGGAUUAAUGGAUUAAUGGGAUAAUGGAUUAAUGGGUCAUCAUGGGAGAGGAACUGGUGGCUUUAUUAUAAGAGGAAGAGAGACUUGAGUGAGCACAUUAGCAUGCUCAGUCCCCUCACUAUGUGAUACCCUGUGCCAUCUCAGGACUCUGCAGACAGUCCCCACCAUCAAGAAAGCCCUCACUAGAUGUGACUCCUUGGUCUUGGACUUCUCAGCUCCCAUAACUUUAAGAAAUAAAUCCUUUUUCUGUAGCAUGCAUCACUAUCUCCUGGAAGAUUUUUACAGCAUAGGUUCCUGAGCAUCACCCACAGAAUUUUUGAUGCAGUCGGUCUGAGAUGGGGCCUGAGAAUUUGCAGGUUCCUAGCUGAGGCUAAUGUUGCUGUCUGGGCCCACCCUGUGAGGACUUCCUAUUGGUAACUUUCUUGACCAUUGAUCUGAUUCCUCUUAAAAUGAAAUGAAAUUAUUCAAACAUGCAUUUAAAAAAAUCAUACAGACUUGUUUUUUUAAUGUCUGUCAACAGCACGGGAUUUGUCAAUAAGUUCUGAAAAUUGCAUCGAAAAUUGUUUAAUUAGUUCUUGUUUUGGCAGCACAUGUACGAAAAUUGGAAUGACACAGAGAUUAGCAUGGCCCUGGUGCAAGGAUGACAUGGAAAUUCAUGAAGCAUUCUCUGUUGUUUGGAACCCUUCCGCAUUGUUGGUGGGAACAUAAAAUGAUGCAACCACUAUGGAAAAUAGUAUGGAGGUUCCUCAAAAAAUUAAAAAUAGAAUUAUCAUAUGAUUCAGCAAUCUACUUUUGGAAAUAUAUCCAAAAUAAAUUAAAGCAGGAUCUUGAAGAGGUAUUUGCAUACCUAUAUUCAUCGUAGCAUUAUUCACAAUAAUCAAGAGGUGGAAGUAACCUAAAUGUUUGAUGACAGGUGAAUGGAUAAAGAAAUGUGGUAUAUACAUACAAUGAAAUAUUAUUAAACUUAAAAAGGAAAUACUAUCCUUUUUUAUUGUGUAGCACACACUACCACAUGAAUAAACCUUGAGGUCAUUAUAUUAAGUGAAAUAAGCCAGUGACAGAAAAGACACAUACUGUGUGAUUCCAUUCCUAUAAAGUAUCAAAAGUAGCCAAACUCAUAGAACCACAAAGUAGAAUGGUGGUUUCCAGGGUUUGCAGGGAGAGGAAACUAGAGUUGGUGUUCAAUGGUUACAGAGUUUCAGUUUUACAAGAUGAAAAAGUUCUAGAGGUCUGUUGCGAAACAAUAUGAAUAUACUUAACACUACAGAACUAUAUACUUAAAAACGAUGCAGAGGGUAAAUUUUACACUGUGUGUAUCUUAUCACAAUUUAAAAAAUUGUUUAUGUGAAGAUAACACCUUCCCUGUAGGGCAUAGCAAUCCUAUGUUUUAAACAUGUCUAGAGAGAAGUGGAGAGGGACUCUCCUUGUGGUCACUCUAAUGGGAGCCAGCUAUUUAUUCUAAUUCCAGUCUUAGCAAGUCCCAUGUUCUCUGUGGAUCUUGCCUCUCCAAGGUCCUUCUUUAAAGUAUGGGUGCUGGGUCCAAGCCAGAUAUUCUAAUCUGGCUUGUGAUGUGACCUGGGUAGUAAGGAUUUUUGAAAGCUCCUUGAAGCUUGAAUUGUAGGCAUGACUAUAGGGCAUUGGUUGGAUCAGUGAUUUGUCACUUGUGGGAGGCUAAAAAUAAUCUUCUUGAGGGUCUUGUCAAA